AGUCUGGAGGGUUCGCUGCAAUCAGUGCUACAGCUUUAGAAACUGUGAUUUACUGCUGAUUUAAAACUCUUUAAAGAGCCGACUUCCUGCCGAUGGGGCUGAGGGAAGAGCGGCAGGCGCAGUGCUGGCAGAGACUCCGGCAGGGCCUCGUGCGGGGGCCGGGAGCAGCGCCUUCUUUUUAGGAAACGACGCUUCAGGCUCAGGCCCGUCCAUGCUCCUCUCCCGUGUGAGUGCAGAGAAGGUCCUGGGUUCUGUCUGCUGCUUCACUCUGGGGUGCGGCCUAGGAUUCUUCUGGAAGAAGUGGUCUGUUUGAUUCCAACAGCAGUGACAGCCCAGCUCCUGUUACAGAAGUGGAAAACCAAAUCUGCCACCAGGGACUGGCGUGUGAAUUAAACAUCCACUUGGAAACCGUAUGCCCCACAGAAAGCCAAACCCGAUCCCCACUCCUCUUGGGACAUGAGAAAGGGAGGCCGCCGGGUGAAGCUGGAGAAGGGGUGGUCUGUGGAGGUCUCCCUUUGUGGAGCAGAGACCUUUGUUGCCACCUGAGAUGUAACUCACUUCUUUCUUGGGGGAGUUUUCUUAAGCAUUUUUACAUAAGGGAGAUUAUUAAAAAGUUUCUCCUGCUGUGCUGUGGUCUGGAUAUUUGCACCCCACCAAAUUCAUAAAUUGAAAUCUUGGAACCCCCAAGGUUAUGGUGGAGGAGGUGAGAUCCUUGGGAAGUGACACAGUCAUGAGGGCAGAGCCUCACAAAUAGGAUCAGUGUCUUAUAAAAGGAACCCCAGAGAGCUCCCUCAGCCCUUCCAUCACGUGAGGACACAGCAAGAAGAUGGCCAUUCACCCAUAAACCUGGAAUAGGCCCUCACAGACACCGAACCUGCUGACACCGCGAUCUUGGACUUCCAGGCUCCAAAAGGUGAGAGGCGAGUUUCUGCUGUGUAUCAGCGCCCCCGUCUAUGACAUUUUGUCCCAGUAGCCUGGAUGGACUGAGGCACAUGGUCCUUGUUUGAUGUUUUAUAUCUAGGGUAUAGCAGCCUGAUAAAAUAGAGUGAAUAGUAGUUCCUACUUUUCUAUUCCGUGAAACGGUGUGGGAGGGACGGGAGCUGCUGCUCCCUUUAUGGUCUGGCAAGACUUUCCAGUAUAACCACCUAGGACUGAAAACUUACAGUAAAGGUUGGUUUUUGAAUGUAUUUUUUUUUGUUUUAAUGAUUAUUCCUUCAUUUACUUUUUAUAUAUUUCAUCUUGGUUUGAUUUUGACUAUAUAUUUAAAAAUACUAUCAUCAACUUUAUUGAAGUUUUAAAAUUAUGGCUACAUGAUACAUCAUUCAUGAUAUUCUCUUGUAAUUAAAUUUGUUUCAUUUCA
rnacentral:lncRNA from 1 species